AGAGCUUUCUGCCUGAGCUUUGGAUGUGGAGCCCCUGAGACCUCCAUCAUGAAUAAUUCAGAGCUGGGUGGUCUUAGCACUCCAUUGAAGAUUGUCAUUGGGUUUUGAAGCGGAAUGACUCUUCCUUCCAGCGAGUCCUCAAUGAGGAUGCAGCAGAUAGACUCACUGCAGGAGAGGAAUGCUACCAGCUAGGCACUGCCAUACAGCCAGCGAGUCAUUACUGACCCCAGGGGGCGUCUCCUCAAUGACACACAGCACAUUCCGCUACGUGGAAGGUAAAGAGACCCAUGCUAUACCCUUCCUCUGGGGGGUCAAUGUCUGACAGAUUCUGGUAGACUACGGACGGGCCUGUGUGUGGCAUCGCUGGUUUCCUAUUACAAUAAGUGACCUGUAAGAUCCUGUGUACUAAAUCCCUUCCUACCUCCAAGUGAGCAGAGGUUCAGAUCAGACACAGGACUGUGGACAUCAGCUGCUCUGAAGAACCCUACAGUGAAAGAAGCUGGUAGUAUCUGAAACCCACCACCAUCUCCAAAGCUGAUGUGGUUGUGACCCUAAUGGCUCUUAAGCUUUAUAUACUAUUGCUGCUGCUCUGUGGAAGUACGGUCUCCGAAAAAGCCCUCUCUUACAACACUGCACCAUUGGAUUUUGGAUAUGUACCCACUGGAAGUUAUGACACCAACGCCUACCAUGAGCCAGGACCUAUAGGCUUAUUGUUUCAGUUAGUGCAAGGGUUCCUGUAUAUUGUGCAGCCAAAUGCAUUUCCUCAAGAUUUAGUGAAACGAAUAGCACAGCAGAAGUUUGGUGAAUCACGCAAUGACUAUCAAAAGCCGGAAAACGUAGUCCUGACUCUGCAGACCAUACACUAUGAGAUUGGCUUCAUCGUGGCUGCCGCCCUAGGUCUCGUUUUUUUCCUUUUGAUGCCCCUGGUGGGAUUGUGUUUCUGCAUGUGUCGUUGCUGUGAUAACUGUGGAGGGGAGAUGCAUCAAAGAAGCAAGAAGAAUGCAGACUGCCAGAGAGGAUGCAUUUCCACCUUCCUCUUUGUGACGUCUUUGAUAAUAAGUCUUGGUGUUCUCUGUGCAUUUGCUGCAAAUCAGAAUCUUACUGACCAAAUUCGAGGGUCAAAAAAACUGGUGCAAAGCAACUUUAAGGACCUGAAGACCCUGCUGGCAGAUUCUCCACUGCAAAUUGACUAUGUAUUGGACAAGUUCAACAUCACCAAGGACAAGGCUCUGGCAGAACUGAGCAAUGUUGGGCCUUUGCUGGGAGAGCGCGUCCAUGAGCAGCUCGGGAAAGAAGUGCGUCCUGCUUUUGAUGGUGUUCUCAACAUGGCUGGAGCAAUCAAGGAAACAAAAGAAGCGUUGGAGAACGUCAGCGUGUCUUUGGAAAUCCUUCAGGAGGCAAUGGACCGCCUAGACUUAAACCUUACAGAUGCCAAGGUACAACUAAACACUACGCUGAGUGACCCGGCAUGCUUCACCAACGUGGCAAUGAUUACCUGCAACAAGAUCAAGAACUCACUCUCACAGCUAAGGGCCAAUGCCAACUUCAGUUUGUUACCAGAUCUAAACCAGCAUCUUGGCAAAUUAAACAACGUUCUCAAGACGGAUCUCAGUAACUUUGUACAAAAGGGUUAUGCCGCUUUCAAUAACACUCCAGAAAUGGUACAAAAUCAAACUAAAAACAUAGAGGAAGAUGUGAAGAACAUUUUGGAUUCCAUCGGAGCAAAUAUAACAAAAUUUUCCAAAAUGAUCCCAGUCAUUCACAUAAUGUCCAACCUUACGUUCUAUCUAACCCAAAGUGAGAUGUAUGUCCGAGAUUAUUAUCCUGUUAUCGAGCAGUAUGACUCUUACAGGUGGCUCGGAUCUCUUGUCCUCUGUUGCAUGGUGACACUUAUUGUGGUUUUCUACUUCCUUGGCCUCCUAUUUGGUUCCUGUGGUUAUGACCAACAUGCUUCUCCAACCACGAGAGGCUGUGUCUCAAAUACUGGAGGGAACUUUCUCAUGGCUGGAGUUGGAUUCAGCUUUAUCUUCUCCUGGAUUCUCAUGCUUAUUGUGAUUGUUACAUUUCUGGCCGGAGGAAAUGUAGAAAAGCUGGUGUGUGAGCCUUUCCAAGACAAGUCUUUGUUUAAGGUUCUGGAUACUCCAUAUCUGCUGAAUUCACAGUGGAAAAAUUAUCUCUCCGGUGUCCUAUAUCAAAAUGCCAAUAUGAAUCUCACUUUUGAAAAGGUCUACAGUGACUGCAAGGAAAACAAGGGCAUUUUUACGGCUCUUCAGAUUGAUCAUAUGUUUAAUCUUAAUGAGUUCUUAAACAUCAACCAGUAUGUUGAUGAAAUAUCAGAUCGGAUUGAGCUGAUGAAUAUAAACCUGAAGGAUAUUGUUUUGCUGGAUCAAAAAGGAAGAAAGAAUUUAGAAGAUUUCAGCACAACGGGGAUUGAUACAAUAGACUUUGAUGCAUUUUUAGCUGAGACAGGUAAAAGCAGUACAAAAGUGGAUCUGUUGGCAUUUGCCAAUGAACUAGAGGGAAAUGCUGACAUGCUGCCAAAAGGUGCAUUAGGAAACGCUAUAAAAGGCCACGCUAAUAGUAUACGGAUGAUCCACCUUCAGCAGGUCGUACCGAUGGAGCAGACAAUGAGUGUUUUAAAUCAAAGCAUUAAAUUGCUAGAGAGGACAUCGUUCGAUAUUGAGGAAAAGGUACAUGACGUGAUUUCAUCGAUUGACGCCGCUCAAGCACUGAUCAAUACCAAUGCUUCCACGAUCAUAAAGCAGGAAUCUAAAAAGUUCAUGAAUACAGUCAUCGGCUACUUCGUUCAGUAUAUUCACUGGGUGAAACAGUCAAUGGCCCUGGACGUUGCGGGGUGUAAGCCCGUUGCAAAUGUUGUAGACACUGCAGUAGACGUGUUUUUAUGCAGCUAUAUAAUAGAUUCAGUGAAUGCCUUCUGGUUUGGUUUGGGAGGCGCUACAGUAUUUUUAAUCCCCGCUAUUAUUUUUGCUGUCAAGUUAGCAAAGUUCUAUCGCAGGAUGGAGACAGAAGACGUUUAUGAUGAUGUUGAAACUGUCCCCAUGAAAAAUAUGGAAAAUGGUAAUAAUGGUUAUCAUAAUGAGUAUUUGUAUGGUAUACGCAAUCCUAUAAUGACCAGCUUGUCUUCAUUUGAUACUGUGAGUAGAUUCCCUCGCGCUUCUGCCCCACCACGUCAAGAUGAUUGAUGAGACCUAUCCAGUUGUUUGAGAUUGUGGAGUGCUGUGGAACAGUGGUAGAAGACAAUGAAGAUUCUGAUGUAGCAUUAUAAAGUGAGAUCACAGAACUUGAGUCUCCGCAGGGUGUAAGAUUUUUUUUUUGUAAUAUGUAAGAAAUGACUGCCGGACAGACAGCAAACCUUCACAGAUCUCCAGAGUCUUCAAAAACCUCCCUUCCAAAAAGAAGAAAUUGUACGUGGACACCCUUACAAAUUCCAUACCUGUGACACUUAUCUUAUAAUUAUAUGUAAGUCUGUCACUGCCAAGAAGUAAUGCUGUGCAUAGCGGAAUGAAGGGGUUAAGAACAAGUGUUUACACUAGUCCUACUUUUUGUAUGACGACUUUUGUAUUAUACUCACUAUUUAUUAUGGUAUUUUAGUUACAUGUUCUGUAAAGAGAGGAAAAGGGUAAUCGCCUACCAUUUCAGUUUGUAAAUCUUCACUUGUAUGGUCCAUCAAAGUAAACCUUGUUUAAUAACA